rnacentral:rRNA from 1 species
CCUACGGGUGGCUGCAGUGGGGAAUAUUGCACAAUGGGCGCAACCCUGAUGCAGCGACGCCGCGUGAGGGAAGAAGUAUUUCGGUUCGUAAAGCUCUAUCAGCAGGGAAGAAAAUGACGGUACCUGACUUUGAUUCCCCGGCGAAAUACGUGCCAGCGGCCACGCGAAUACGUAGGGGGCACGCGUUAUCCGGAUUUACUGGGUGUAAAGGGAGCGUAGACGGGAGCGCAAGUCUGAAGUGAAAUCCCAGGGCUUAACCAUGGAACUGCAUUGGAAACUGUGCAGCUAGAGUGCAGGAGAGGUAAGCGGAAUUCCUAGUGUAGCGGUGAAAUGCGUAGAUAUUAGGAGGAACACCAGUGGCGAAGGCGGCUUACUGGACUGUAACUGACGUUGAGGCUCGAAAGCGUGGGGAGCAAACAGGAUUAGAUACCCUGGUAGUC